rnacentral:misc_RNA from 1 species
GGAAAUUUGGGAUAAGCUUGAAGUCACUUAUGAAGGAACUGAUGUCGUCAAAGAGUCCAAAGCAAACCUUCUUAUUCGAGAUUAUGAGCUAUUUGAAAUGAAGCCAGGAGAAUCAAUUGCGGAUAUGAGUACAAGGUUUACUGAUCUUGUGAAUCUUCUCAAAGCGCUUGGUAAAAGAUUUGAGGAAGCAGAACUUGUGAAGAAAAUUCUUAGA